AUCCGUCUGACAAGUCCCAACUAGGACGAAACGCUCGUCCUGGUU
rfam:Schistosoma haematobium scaffold799_7, whole genome shotgun sequence.